rnacentral:rRNA from 1 species
UACGUAGGGGGCAAGCGUUGUCCGGAAUCAUUGGGCGUAAAGCGCACGUAGGCGGAUCGUUAAGUCGGGGGUGAAAUCCUGGAGCUCAACUCCAGAACUGCCUUUGAUACUGGUGAUCUUGAGUCCGGGAGAGGUGAGUGGAACUGCGAGUGUAGAGGUGAAAUUCGUAGAUAUUCGCAAGAACACCAGUGGCGAAGGCGGCUCACUGGCCCGGUACUGACGCUGAGGUGCGAAAGCGUGGGGAGCAAACAGG